GAUUAAGUUAUUAAGGGCGCACGGUGGAUGCCUUGGCACUAGAAGCCGAUGAAGGACGUUACUAACGACGAUAUGCUUUGGGGAGCUGUAAGUAAGCUUUGAUCCAGAGAUUUCCGAAUGGGGAAACCCAGCAUGAGUUAUGUCAUGUUAUCGAUAUGUGAAUACAUAGCAUAUCAGAAGGCACACCCGGAGAACUGAAACAUCUUAGUACCCGGAGGAAGAGAAAGAAAAUUCGAUUCCCUUAGUAGCGGCGAGCGAAACGGGAAGAGCCCAAACCAACAAGCUUGCUUGUUGGGGUUGUAGGACACUCUAUACGGAGUUACAAAGGACGACAUUAGACGAAUCAUCUGGAAAGAUGAAUCAAAGAAGGUAAUAAUCCUGUAGUCGAAAAUGUUGUCUCUCUUGAGUGGAUCCUGAGUACGACGGAGCACGUGAAAUUCCGUCGGAAUCUGGGAGGACCAUCUCCUAAGGCUAAAUACUCUCUAGUGACCGAUAGUGAACCAGUACCGUGAGGGAAAGGUGAAAAGCACCCCGGAAGGGGAGUGAAAUAGAACCUGAAACCGUGUGCUUACAAGUAGUCAGAGCCCGUUAAUGGGUGAUGGCGUGCCUUUUGUAGAAUGAACCGGCGAGUUACGAUUUGAUGCAAGGUUAAGCAGUAAAUGUGGAGCCGUAGCGAAAGCGAGUCUGAAUAGGGCGUUUAGUAUUUGGUCGUAGACCCGAAACCAGGUGAUCUACCCUUGGUCAGGUUGAAGUUCAGGUAACACUGAAUGGAGGACCGAACCGACUUACGUUGAAAAGUGAGCGGAUGAACUGAGGGUAGCGGAGAAAUUCCAAUCGAACCUGGAGAUAGCUGGUUCUCUCCGAAAUAGCUUUAGGGCUAGCCUCAAGUGAUGAUUAUUGGAGGUAGAGCACUGUUUGGACGAGGGGCCCCUCUCGGGUUACCGAAUUCAGACAAACUCCGAAUGCCAAUUAAUUUAACUUGGGAGUCAGAACAUGGGUGAUAAGGUCCGUGUUCGAAAGGGAAACAGCCCAGACCACCAGCUAAGGUCCCAAAAUAUAUGUUAAGUGGAAAAGGAUGUGGCGUUGCCCAGACAACUAGGAUGUUGGCUUAGAAGCAGCCAUCAUUUAAAGAGUGCGUAAUAGCUCACUAGUCGAGUGACACUGCGCCGAAAAUGUACCGGGGCUAAACAUAUUACCGAAGCUGUGGAUUGUCCUUUGGACAAUGGUAGGAGAGCGUUCUAAGGGCGUUGAAGCAUGAUCGUAAGGACAUGUGGAGCGCUUAGAAGUGAGAAUGCCGGUGUGAGUAGCGAAAGACGGGUGAGAAUCCCGUCCACCGAUUGACUAAGGUUUCCAGAGGAAGGCUCGUCCGCUCUGGGUUAGUCGGGUCCUAAGCUGAGGCCGACAGGCGUAGGCGAUGGAUAACAGGUUGAUAUUCCUGUACCACCUAUAAUCGUUUUAAUCGAUGGGGGGACGCAGUAGGAUAGGCGAAGCGUGCGAUUGGAUUGCACGUCUAAGCAGUAAGGCUGAGUAUUAGGCAAAUCCGGUACUCGUUAAGGCUGAGCUGUGAUGGGGAGAAGACAUUGUGUCUUCGAGUCGUUGAUUUCACACUGCCGAGAAAAGCCUCUAGAUAGAAAAUAGGUGCCCGUACCGCAAACCGACACAGGUAGUCAAGAUGAGAAUUCUAAGGUGAGCGAGCGAACUCUCGUUAAGGAACUCGGCAAAAUGACCCCGUAACUUCGGGAGAAGGGGUGCUCUUUAGGGUUAACGCCCAGAAGAGCCGCAGUGAAUAGGCCCAAGCGACUGUUUAUCAAAAACACAGGUCUCUGCUAAACCGUAAGGUGAUGUAUAGGGGCUGACGCCUGCCCGGUGCUGGAAGGUUAAGAGGAGUGGUUAGCUUCUGCGAAGCUACGAAUCGAAGCCCCAGUAAACGGCGGCCGUAACUAUAACGGUCCUAAGGUAGCGAAAUUCCUUGUCGGGUAAGUUCCGACCCGCACGAAAGGCGUAACGAUUUGGGCACUGUCUCAA
rnacentral:rRNA from 1 species